rnacentral:rRNA from 1 species
AUGGGGGAACCCACUAUCUUUAGUCGGAUAGUAUCCUUACGUGAAUACAUAGCGUGAGGAAGGCAGACCCAGGGAACUGAAACAUCUAAGUACCUGGAGGAAGAGAAAGAAAAAUCGAUUUCCUGAGUAGCGGCGAGCGAAACGGAAAGAGCCCAAACCAAGAAGCUUGCUUCUUGGGGUUGUAGGACACUCUAUACGGAGUUACAAAAGAAAGUUAUAAAUGAAGCGGUCUGGAAAGGCCCGCCAAAGACGGUAACAGCCCGGUAGUUGAAAUGGCUUUCCCUCCAGAGUGGAUCCUGAGUACGGCGGAACACGUGAAAUUCCGUCGGAAUCCGGGAGGACCAUCUCCCAAGGCUAAAUACUCCCUAGUGACCGAUAGUGAACCAGUACCGUGAGGGAAAGGUGAAAAGCACCCCGGAAGGGGAGUGAAACAGUUCCUGAAACCGUGUGCCUACAAGUAGUUAGAGCCCGUUAAUGGGUGAUAGCGUGCCUUUUGUAGAAUGAACCGGCGAGUUACGAUUUGUUGCAAGGUUAAGCGGAAAAAGCGGAGCCGUAGCGAAAGCGAGUCUGAAUAGGGCGCAUAAGUAACAGGUCGUAGACCCGAAACCAGGUGAUCUACCCAUGUCCAGGAUGAAGGUAAGGUAAUACUUACUGGAGGUCCGAACCCACGCACGUUGAAAAGUGCGGGGAUGAGGUGUGGGUAGCGGAGAAAUUCCAAUCGAACUUGGAGAUAGCUGGUUCUCUCCGAAAUAGCUUUAGGGCUAGCCUCGAGGUAAAGAGUCAUGGAGGUAGAGCACUGUUUGGACUAGGGGCCCUUCUCGGGUUACCGAAUUCAGAUAAACUCCGAAUGCCAUGUACUUAUACUCGGGAGUCAGACUGCGAGUGAUAAGAUCCGUAGUCGAAAGGGAAACAGCCCAGACCACCAGUUAAGGUCCCCAAAUAUAUGUUAAGUGGAAAAGGAUGUGGGGUUGCUUAGACAACCAGGAUGUUGGCUUAGAAGCAGCCACCAUUGAAAGAGUGCGUAAUAGCUCACUGGUCGAGUGACCCCGCGCCGAAAAUGUACCGGGGCUAAACAUAUUACC